CCAUUGAAACAGCCCGGACUUUGGACUUUUUCCCCCUCUGGGAAGUAUCGAGGCGCCCCGCCCCUCCGCUGACGUCACUCGCCCAGAGUUUGAACUUUCACCCCACCCCCCGAGCGCUGCGCUGACGAGUUCCCUUGCUGCCACCGGAUUAUUGGAGAAACUCAGUGGUAAUGCUUCACUUUCACAAGACCCUGGGUUUGAUUUCUCUGCCUAGCAAAGAAUAACCACGAUAAUCUUGAUGAACACCAAUGACAAGAGAAGUCUUGGCCUAUCACAAAAGGAAGAAUGACAGAAUAAAAGGGAAGCUGAUUCCUGCUUGAACCAUUCUCCAGGAACCUCUUCAUAUUGCAAGACAAUGCAAAUUACAGAUAGAAACAGCUGAGUUACGGCUUAAUCGCCUACUCCUUCUCCUUGAGCCCUGUGGACCCUACCAGCCGUACACUCCAGCAGAAAGGAUCGUUACCGACAAACAGCUAAACGGUGCUUGAAGCAAGAAUGACAAGA